AAUUGCUAGUAAUGGCAGGUCAGCAUACUGCCGUGAAUACGUUCCCGGGCCUUGUACACACCGCCCGUCACACCAUGAGAGUUGGGAAUACCCGAAGCCUGUGAGCCAACUUUUAAAGAGGCAACAGUCGAAGGUAGAAUCAAUGAUUGAGGUGAAGUCGUAACAAGGUACC
rnacentral:rRNA from 1 species